GACGAACGCUGGCGGCGUGCUUAACACAUGCAAGUCGAACGCUGAAGCUCAGCUUUUGUUGGGUGGAUGAGUGGCGAACGGGUGAGUAACACGUGAGUAACCUGCCCCCUUCUUUGGGAUAACGCCCGGAAACGGGUGCUAAUACUGGAUAUUCACUGGUCUUCGCAUGGGGGUUGGUGGAAAGGGUUUUUCUGGUGGGGGAUGGGCUCGCGGCCUAUCAGCUUGUUGGUAGGGUGAUGGCCUACCAAGGCUUUGACGGGUAGCCGGCCUGAGAGGGUGACCGGUCACAUUGGGACUGAGAUACGGCCCAGACUCCUACGGGAGGCAGCAGUGGGGAAUAUUGCACAAUGGGCGCAAGCCUGAUGCAGCGACGCCGCGUGAGGGAUGGAGGCCUUCGGGUUGUGAACCUCUUUCGCUCAUGGUCAAGCCGCAACAAUGGUUGUGGUGAGGGUAGUGGGUAAAGAAGCGCCGGCUAACUACGUGCCAGCAGCCGCGGUAAUACGUAGGGCGCGAGCGUUGUCCGGAAUUAUUGGGCGUAAAGGGCUUGUAGGUGGUUUGUCACGUCGUCUGUGAAAUUCCACAGCUUAACUGUGGGCGUGCAGGCGAUACGGGCUGACUUGAGUACUGUAGGGGUAACUGGAAUUCCUGGUGUAGCGGUGAAAUGCGCAGAUAUCAGGAGGAACACCGAUGGCGAAGGCAGGUUACUGGGCAGUUACUGACGCUGAGGAGCGAAAGCAUGGGUAGCAAACAGGAUUAGAUACCCUGGUAGUCCAUGCCGUAAACGGUGGGCGCUGGGUGUAGGGGCCUUUUGGGGUUUCUGUGCCGUAGCUAACGCAUUAAGCGCCCCGCCUGGGGAGUACGGCCGCAAGGCUAAAACUCAAAGGAAUUGACGGGGGCCCGCACAAGCGGCGGAGCAUGUGGAUUAAUUCGAUGCAACGCGAAGAACCUUACCUGGGCUUGACAUACACCGGAUCGCUGCAGAGAUGUAGUUUCCCUUGUGGCUGGUGUACAGGUGGUGCAUGGCUGUCGUCAGCUCGUGUCGUGAGAUGUUGGGUUAAGUCCCGCAACGAGCGCAACCCUUGUCUUAUGUUGCCAGCACGUUAUGGUGGGGACUCAUGAGAGACUGCCGGGGUUAACUCGGAGGAAGGUGGGGACGACGUCAAGUCAUCAUGCCCCUUAUGUCCAGGGCUUCACACAUGCUACAAUGGCCGGUACAAUGCGCAGCGAGCCUGUGAGGGUGAGCUAAUCGCUUAAAGCUGGUCUUAGUUCGGAUUGGGGUCUGCAACUCGACCCCAUGAAGUCGGAGUCGCUAGUAAUCGCAGAUCAGCAGUGCUGCGGUGAAUACGUUCCCGGGCCU
rnacentral:rRNA from 1 species